UGGGGAAUCUUGCGCAAUGGGCGAAAGCCUGACGCAGCGACACCGCGUGGGGGACGAAGGCCUUUCAGGUCGUAAACCCCUUUCGGCAGGGACGAAGCGAUCUCGUGACGGUACCUGCAGAAGAAGCCUCGGCUAACUACGUGCCAGCAGCCGCGGUAACACGUAGGAGGCGAGCGUUGUCCGGAAUCAUUGGGCGUAAAGAGCGCGCAGGCGGCCCGGCAAGUCGGGUGUGAAAUCCCGGGGCUCAACCCCGGGACUGUCGGGCUCGAGCACAGUAGAGGCAGGUGGAAUUCCCGGUGUAGCGGUGGAAUGCGUAGAGAUCGGGAAGAACAUCGGUGGCGAAGGCGGCCUGCUGGGCUGUUGCUGACGCUGAGGCGCGACAGCGUGGGGAGCAAACAGGAUUAGAUACC
rnacentral:rRNA from 1 species